rnacentral:lncRNA from 1 species
UUUCAGGACACAUUUCCACAUUUCUAAAGAAAGUGACAAUAAAACAUCAACAGUUCUUGAUGUUGAAACAUAGCCAAAAGUGAGACCAUCAGGAGAAGGGCCUAAGAAGAACUAGAUUAACAGGAAGAAGGUGAAAAAGUGAUAAUAAGUCUUUUAAUCCUGCCACCUACACAGGUGAUUCUCCACCUACCAGAGGUGAGAGCAUAUCUUACUAGGUCACUAACAGCAACAAAGUCUCUGAAGAAGUUUUUCCAUUUAAUAUGUGGACCAAAAAAGCACAACUGGACCAAUUUAUAAAAUAAACACACUCCUUUACUACAACAAUUCAGGAAACUAAAUUUUCAAGAAUGGAAGGAAUGGUUAUAUGGUUAAAACCAAAUGCUAAUGUUGGAUACAUUUAUUAAUUCAAUAAAUGAAUAUUCAUUUAUCUAUUUACUGAG